CCUACGGGAGGCAGCAGUGGGGAAUAUUGCACAAUGGGGGAAACCCUGAUGCAGCGACGCCGCGUGAAGGAAGAAGUAUUUCGGUAUGUAAACUUCUAUCAGCAGGGAAGAAAAUGACGGUACCUGACUAAGAAGCCCCGGCUAACUACGUGCCAGCAGCCGCGGUAAUACGUAGGGGGCAAGCGUUAUCCGGAUUUACUGGGUGUAAAGGGAGCGUAGGCGGUUUAGCAAGUCAGAAGUGAAAGCCCGGGGAUCAACUCCGGGACUGCUUUUGAAACUGUUGAACUAGAUGGCAGGAGAGGUAAGUGGAAUUCCUAGUGUAGCGGUGAAAUGCGUAGAUAUUAGGAGGAACACCAGUGGCGAAGGCGGCUUACUGGACUGUAAAUGACGCUGAGGCUCGAAAGCGUGGGGAGCAAACAGGAUUAGAUACCCCUGUAGUC
rnacentral:rRNA from 1 species